CAGCAUCCACUGAUAGACCCGUUGCCACAAUCAGUGGCCUUUGGGUUUGCACAAGGAUGCAAUAGUAAUCCUCCUUGUGUCUUUUUGUCAUCAGAAAGGUGGCCCAAAUUGACUAAUUUAAGGAGAACACCA